rnacentral:tRNA from 1 species
GGGGCUGAAUGGGGUACUGGUGUCCCCCACGGUCUUCAAAACCGCUUGUGAGGCACGUGUUGUCUUAGGUGGGUUCGAUUCCCACACAGUCCCGCCA